UUAUUGAAAUUUAUUGAUUUACUCUCCUGCAACGAAAAUCGCUUGUAUUGCGCUCCUAGGACGUUAGUGACUAUACGGGGUAGCGGAUUUACUCUUGACAUUGAUUUUAAAAUAACGCGAAGAGGGAUACCGUAUUAGCAAUUGUUUCCUAUUUGCAUGAAAGGGGCGAGGCCGGUAAGUCUAUUUUGAGAGACUAAUUAGAUAAAGUUAUUACAAGGAUAUAAAAGCCAGGCGUCUGCUUAAAAUAAAUAUAGAAUGAUCGAAAUAAAGCCUUUUCGUUUUACGUUUUCCGAGAAACUUUAAAAAUUAAAUGUAACGACUAAUAAAACGACAUAUGUACACAUUAACAUCAUCAUCGACGUACCUUCACAUGUACAUAUUCAAGGGAUGAGUUUUCCACGUGAAAAACAUCAAUCCAUUCGUGUUGUCGCCAUGUCAGCAGCGUUCGCCGUCUCUGUUGCACGCGGGCGGGGUGAGUUGGACGCCUUCCUAUCUGCGAUCGCCGCCGGAGAUGCCCGAUGCUCAACCACUUUUCGCAACCGAACGCACGCAAUACCGUACGGAAAAUAGAUCGCGGGGCGCACUGCUAUUUUUUAUUUUAUUAUCGCACUUCAAAAACACAAAAUAAAAGAAAUCCAUAAAAA